ACCUUGUUGCACCGAGGUAGGGCUCCUGCCUGCUAUGCGGGAGACCCGGGUUCGAUUCCCAGACGAACCU
rnacentral:tRNA from 1 species